GCGGUCUGCGCUCCUCUGAACCCCAUGAUUCCAACCUGGCCCUUUACGUUAUUCCCCUCUCCCUCCCCCACGGCCCAGCGUCCUGUGGUUGCGUCGCCCACCUCGCCUCCGCAGCAUCGAAGGCCAACCUUCGCACUCCCAGGCUGCGGGCGCGGGGAGCAGACGCGCUGUCCCCCGGCCGGCCCCACGCGCACGGCGCCCCGAAUCCCGAGCCAGCCCAGAGUGGGCGGCGCGUCGGGCUGGGUCUCGGCACAGCCUCGCCGGCCCGGAUCCCCAUUGGUCGUCACCUCGGCGGGAGGGCGGUCCGGUCCCCGCACCUGCCGUCGCCCCUCCACGGGCAGAUUGGCGGCUGCGGGACACCGGCGCCCAGAAGCCGCAGCACGAGAGGGCAGGCCUGAGGCUCAUCCGACCUCCACGCGGCGGGCCCUGUCCUUUUGCUGCCGCGGCCGC
rnacentral:lncRNA from 1 species